rnacentral:rRNA from 2 species
AAAACUUUCAACAACGGAUCUCUUGGUUCUGGCAUCGAUGAAGAACGCAGCGAAAUGCGAUAAGUAAUGUGAAUUGCAGAAUUCAGUGAAUCAUCGAAUCUUUGAACGCACAUUGCGCCCUGUGGUAUUCCGCAGGGCAUGCCUGUUCGAGCGUCAUUU